rnacentral:lncRNA from 1 species
AUUUUUGCUUCCUCUAUGCAAUUGCAUGCAAACUAUCACCUUGUCUCAUAUUUCCUUUAUGCUUUUAGUAUAGGACACAGGAUUUGAGAUUGAAGCAAUGGAAAUCCUACUGCCUCCUACUCCGUCACUACUACUUUUUAGAGACUACUUUGGCAUCUUAGUAGCAAUCAUGUUUAUGGUUCUAGGGGUGACUGAAGGAAAUAUCCAGUAAGCAAAGGUGAACAGAAAGCCUUGGACUGUGUGGAAGGACAAGAAGGUGGAAAGUGUCCCAUAGGGAAAAGUUUUAAAUCUGGUUGCAAGAAAAAAGGAACGUCCAGUGGAGAUUGUUAAUAUGGAAAAAUCCUAAGACAUGGCAUGCUAUUUGAGAAAAUAAGUGGACUGCACUUUGGCAUGAAGGAUAAUUAAUUGUACCAUGAAUUGCUGAAGACAGAUAAAAUGAAUUGGCCAGCAGAGACCAAAAACACCUCCCAAGUACAGUUGUGCGCUACUUAUUUCAAUUACAGAUGUGAAGAAAGAGCGUUGGCGUCACAUAGAGAAGAAUUUUCGAAGCAAGAAGGGCGUAACGAGAAAGUGAAGCAGAGUGGCAAACCUGGACAGUAGUUGAAAGAGAUAUUAAAGGGAAAACACCAGGCUUCUGGAAGUGCGAGAAGCCACAGCCUGCGCACAGCCAGCUCACAGUGAAGACAGAUUUUGUAGAGGCUCUCAGGCAUCUGCAUCCAUGUGGUAAGUUCCAGUCUUGUAGGACCUGGGUGAAUAGCACCAGCAUGAUACCCUGGAACAAAUCUGUU